UCACCAACUCCCAUCAGCCCGCCUUUGCGCUCGUCCAGCCCUCCACCUGGCCCGACGGCCUCCUCCUCCGUGUCUCCUGACUUGUCGCCACCCGUCAUCAUUCACCGGCCGCCAUCACCGAGUAACACGCACACGAUGCUCACACGUGCCAAACGUGGGCUCUUCCAACCCACCGAUCGUCCAAACCUCACGACAUCACACUCCACUCCCUCUCCCAUUCCCAAAACAUACCGGGGUGCUCUCCAUGACCCUCAUUGGCGUCGUGCCAUGCUCGAGGAAUUUGAUGCUCUUGUUGCUAACGGAACUUGGUCACUUGUUCCUCGACCUUCUCGUGCUCAUGUUGUUUUAGGAAAAUGGAUCUUCAAGCAUAAGUUUCAUUCUAACGGAAGCCUUGCUCGUUACAAGGCUCGGUGGGUGGUCCGUGGCUACUCUCAACAGCCGGGCAUCGAUUUCGACGAGACAUUCAGCCCCGUGGUCAAGCCGGCCACGAUACGCAUCGUCCUCAGCCUUGCCGUUUCA
rnacentral:rRNA from 1 species